AGUGAACGCUGGCGGUAGGCCUAACACAUGCAAGUCGAACGGCAACACAGUAAGAGCUUGCCCUUACGGGUGGCGAGUGGCGGAUGGGUGAGGCAUACAUCAGAUUCUACUUUUUCGUGGGUGAUAACGUAGGGCAACUUACGCUAAUACCGAAUACGUCCUACGGGUGGAAGCAGUGGUUCUUCGGACCUUUGGCGUUUCUAUGAGCCGAUGUCGGAUUAGCUAGUUGGCGGGGUAAAGGCCCACCAAGGCGACGAUCCGUAGCUGGUCUGAGAGGAUGAUCAGCCACACUGGAACUGAGACACGGUCCAGACUCCUACGGGAGGCAGCAGUGGGGAAUAUUGCGCAAUGGGCGCAAGCCUGACGGAGCAAUGCCGCGUGAGUGAUGAAGGCCUUCGGAUCGUAAAGCCCUGUUAUUGGGGAAGAAAAAAUGUGGGAGUAAACCUGGCUGUUUUGACGGUACCCAAAGAGUAAGCACCGGCUAACUACGUG
rnacentral:rRNA from 1 species